rnacentral:rRNA from 1 species
GAUGAACGCUGGCGGCGUGCCUAAUACAUGCAAGUCGAGCGAACAGACGAGGAGCUUGCUCCUCUGACGUUAGCGGCGGACGGGUGAGUAACACGUGGAUAACCUACCUAUAAGACUGGGAUAACUUCGGGAAACCGGAGCUAAUACCGGAUAAUAUAUUGAACCGCAUGGUUCAAUAGUGAAAGACGGUUUUGCUGUCACUUAUAGAUGGAUCCGCGCCGCAUUAGCUAGUUGGUAAGGUAACGGCUUACCAAGGCGACGAUGCGUAGCCGACCUGAGAGGGUGAUCGGCCACAUUGGAACUGGGACACGGUCCAGACUCCUACGGGAGGCAGCAGUAGGGAAUCUUCCGCAAUGGGCGAAAGCCUGACGGAGCAACGCCGCGUGAGUGAUGAAGGUCUUCGGAUCGUAAAACUCUGUUAUUAGGGAAGAACAAAUGUGUAAGUAACUAUGCACGUCUUGACGGUACCUAAUCAGAAAGCCACGGCUAACUACGUG